rnacentral:rRNA from 1 species
UACGGGGGGGGGCAAGCGUUUGUUCGGAAUUACUGGGCGUAAAGGGCGCGUAGGCGGCUUUUCAAGUCGGGCGUGAAAUCUCCAGGCUUAACCUGGAAGGGUCGUUCGAUACUGUUAAGCUAGAGUGUGGAAGAGGCUACUGGAAUUCCGUGUGUAGCGGUGAAAUGCGUAGAUAUACGGAGGAACACCUGCGGCGAAGGCGGGUUGCUGGGCCGACACUGACGCUGAUGUGCGAAAGCCAGGGGAGCGAACGGG